rnacentral:snRNA from 1 species
GGAUGUGAGGACGAUGAAGCUGGCGACAUCUGUCACGCCCUUGAUGGCCAGGGUUGAUUGGGCUGUUAUGGCUGGCUAGGCCGGUUUCCCCCUCCUCCCUCACCGCUCCAGUGAGUCCCUCCUGAAGCUGCAAGCACAACCUUCCCGAAUAGAGGACAGGUCUUCGGUCAAGGAUAUAGGAGGAGCUGCGCUGCCUGGCUAGGACCACCAGACAAGCUCUCAAGAAAAGGAAAUACGAAGGUGAGUGUUUCAGAGUCUCUGCCGACAAGAUUAGUAGGCGGUCAGUCGUUUCUGUAAUAA